rnacentral:rRNA from 1 species
UACGUAGGGUGCGAGCGUUGUCCGGAAUUACUGGGCGUAAAGAGCUCGUAGGUGGUUUGUCGCGUUGUUCGUGAAAUCCGGGGGCUUAACCCUCGGCGUGCGGGCGAUACGGGCAGACUGGAGUACUGCAGGGGAGACUGGAAUUCCUGGUGUAGCGGUGGAAUGCGCAGAUAUCAGGAGGAACACCGGUGGCGAAGGCGGGUCUCUGGGCAGUAACUGACGCUGAGGAGCGAAAGCGUGGGGAGCGAACAGG